GGAGAGAGAGAGAGGGGGGGGAAGGAGAGGAGGUGGGGACCGGAGGGAGGAGGAGAGGAGGCCUGUGGGCGCGCCGCCCGCCCGCCCGCCACGGCCGCGCUCGAGUUCCUCCGCGCCUUCGAGCAGCACCGCCGCAGGGCCUCCUCAUCGGACCCUUCCUCCCCGCGCCCCCGCCGCGCGUCGCUCUCCUCCUCGUCGUCGCAGCCGCGGGGCCGGGGCAGGCUCUUCCCCGCCCUCUGCGACCACUCCCCGCUGGCCGUCAUCCCGGCUCGCUCCGCCGCUUCCUGCAAGAAUUUGAAGUUCACCUCAGAUUUAGAUGAUUAUUUACCUUUUGUUAUCCGAUAUGUAUUACACGAGGAGGAGGAGGCCGUAUUACAGGAGCCAGCGGUGAAUGUUUUUAUGAAGCUGUAUGGGUCAACUUACUAUAAGAUAUAAGCGCCUACUUUGCUCGGUUGAUCUUUCAAAGGAUUUCUUCUUCAGCUACUCUUACAACAUCAUGCGCAGCCUUCAGAAGAACAUAACUGAGAAGAAUACUGGACAUUGUUUAUGAAACAAUGUUUGUAUGGAAUGAAUUUCUGACACGAGCAAUUCGGAAUCAUCUCAAGAAUACCAGUUGGACUGUUGCCUUAGUCCAUGGAUUUUUUAAACAGUACUGUCUAUUCAUCAUCGAAGACCACAAGUAGGGCUGCUGCUAACUCAAUGCCACCCAACUUAGGCGUUUCACUCCACGUCUCAUGACCUGAUAUAUAGUGAAAGCUUGAAUAAAGGGUUUGCAAAGGCAUGGCUUUGUAUAACCUGCUGACAUUUUUCAGUUUGAGCUGCUUCAGGCUUUCCUGAGUCGAACAUUUGCUCCAAGUAAGUGUUGGGCACUAGAUCGGGGGCAAUGGAGGUCAGGACGAAGCUCUAUCAGGCUAUCAGCAACCAGGACGAAGCCGCCAUGGAUGCCUGCGCAGAAACACCACCUUGCAAUGACGGGUCAAGCAGUUGCGCAAACCGCAAAGAAUGCGUCAAUUCUAUUGGAAGCCAACCCCGCCACUGGCACCAACGAUAGGAGGCAGCAGCGAGGUGAACUGUAUCAGUUUAAUUUGCUUAUUUUUGCUCAUUGGCUUUUGUGUGCAUGGUUGAAAACCACCGGAAACUAUUACGGGUCGGAAAUUGCGCAGACUCGGCGACUCGCCAAGAGAAGGAUGUCACUUCAUAUAGCUCAAGUAAUCAGAUGGAAAAGAAGCCCAACAGAUGAGACCAAUCAAUAUGAAAUCACAUGGAAGUGGGAAACAUUCAGCUAUCCAAACUGUGCUGUCUUCUAAAAUCAGUGGAAACUUGCUGCUCGUGAUGGUUUGCCUGAUCACUGUACAGAUUCCAGAUAAGUUGAUCGAAGAAUUACAGAAUACCAGGAAGAAUAUAAUGCAUGGAAUUGUAAGGGUGUCUAAAAAAAUUGACUAAAAGCAGUGCCAUACUGGAGAGAAACACUGCUAUCCGUAAGUUCUAUGCAUGCUGUGUGAGGUACAAUCAGAAAGGGUCUCUUCUGGCUUUCUUGCUUAACAAACAAAACAGUAGUAAAACAUGUGUGUCAGUAUAUACCAGCACUCUGGCGUUACCAUAUGAAAAAAGAAAUGUGACUCCUUCAACUUUAAUCAUGAAACCAGACAACUUUUUCUCACAAGUUUGGGUUUCACUAAAGCGAUAAUUUCAGUUUUCAUCAUCAUCUUCCAGCAGGUAGUCUUCUAUUUGAUCUCUGAAAUAAACAGUUUGCUGAAUCAGUGCACUGAAGAACAAACAUGAUAUUAGCAAAUGAAUGGAGUGUUGAACAUGUGGAAACAAGUGGUCAUGUAAACUAAACAUCAUGCUAAGAAGCAACACGGAAAGGUUUAAUGUUUUCCUUUAGUAUAUCACUGAUAACAUGCACAAUAAAUACCCAGACAAUGAGGCAGCCUACAAAGCCUCACCUUAGUGAGCUGGCAGAUGCAGUGUCCACUUUCUCAGUCCAAAACUUCGGUAGUAGUGAAAAGAAUUGUCCAUACGUAUCUGUAGCAGAUGGUAGAAUCUGGAAAUGGCAGCUUUGACAACAAUGAGCAGUAUAAAGAUCAAUUUUCUUCUGGGCCUUGUGCUUUGUGUUUUCCAAAUUCUGGAGUUCUGAUUCACUGAACGGGCUUCCACAUAUCAGGCAGAGAAUCUCAGAGAAAGUAACAAACUUUCUGAAAGGAAAAAGACAAUUGGUGGGAACUAUGUAAAGAUGCACAAAAACAUAGGAAUAUACUUUCCCUGUCCAAUUAACAUGUUCAUUUUCUGUAUUCAAUAAAGCUGACAAAGUGUAGGCAAGCAAAAGAGAUACUGUCGUUAGAUGGUGUAUGAAUUAGAGACUUUUGCAGAGGUUCUAAAGACUUCCUAGAACUCAUCAAAAGUGCAUUUGUGGUGGGGCCCUGGAAGAUUAGAAGUAUAUCAGUUUGAACUCUAAUUUGUGUUCAUGUAUCAUGCAACCUUUAUUUUGUGAAGUUUUGCUGAAGACAGGAGUAUGUGUCCAUCAUAGAAAUCGAACUACGUUUCCUAUGCUUAGGAUUGUAUAAAAAACUAUGGUGUCAGGCCAAGGCUUCGGUGCAUUACUAUGAAGCUUGGUGGGCAAAUGGGCAUGAGAAGGAUGUCACUUCAUAUAGCUCAAGUAAUCAGAUGGAAAAGAAGCCCAACAGAUGAGUCUGACUCAUGGAACUAAGCACUCAACUUUUGACUUCUGCAUAACUUCAGAAUGCUGCUUGCUUGGACAAUGAGAUAAAAUAUGACCAAGAUUUCGACUAUCAUUAUUUUGGUUUUAAGACACAACAGAGGUAUUAUCUGUUGAAACCUGGUGGAAAGGUCGACGAAAGGCCGCAGGAUAUGUUGAUGAGAGUUUCUGUUGGCAUACAUAAGGAUGACACACUGUAUAAGAAUUGCACUAUAUAUAAGCGCUUGGCAUGCUAUUACAUUAGAUUGCCUCAUCUGUGAAAAGUUUUUUAUGUGACAUUUAUAGGAGGAGAAUCGUGUAAGGGAUCUUUUCUAUGCUCUGUGGGUUCCUGAUCUGUUCAUGGGAAAGGUACAACGCAAUGAACUGUGGUCACUGUUUUGUCCCAAUGAAGCUCCAGGUUUGGCCGAUUGCGAUUGCUAGAGAGAUGAGUUUCAGAAUCUGUACGAUAAAUAUGAAAGAGAGGGCAAGGCAAAGAAAGUGGUUAUUAUCCACGUUGAGAAUGCAAGGAGGUCAAAUAUAAGGCGCAGGACAAUUGGGAUAGAUGUUCAAGGAUUGGCAAAUACUUUUAUUCUACUUGGAAUGCCAUGAAUUGGUGAUUGGCGAGGAGAUAUUUCCGGGCUCGCGAAUGGCGGACUGGUGAUUGUGUAGCGAAGCUAACAUAUUAUGAACAAUUGAAUAAUAACGUGAGAGCAA